rnacentral:tmRNA from 1 species
GGGGAUGUAUUUGGUUUCGACAGUAAUUUUGAAGUACGAAUAGCGAGUAGUGGAUGGUCGCUUCGGCCACUAUAAAAAAGCGAAUUUUAAAAAUAAACGCUGAUAAUAAUAGAGAAUUAGCUUACGCUGCUUAGUUUAGCGGCACGUCUUACUUUAAUUGCCUACGGUUAGAGAUAAGGCGACAAAAUAGUAGGAAACGAAUUUAUUCUGCGCCAUAGGAAUAAAGGGUAAUUAUUUGGCUACCUAAAUUUUAAAUUUGUUUGUUAGUUUAUUUUUAGGGAAUUUUUUAACAAACUGCACUCGGAGAAGUUUGUAUGGAUGGAUUAUUGGACAGGAGUUCGACUCUCCUCAUCUCCACCA